AUUGAACGCUGGCGGCAUGCUUUACACAUGCAAGUCGAACGGUAACAGGCCUUCGGGUGCUGACGAGUGGCGAACGGGUGCGUAAUGCAUCGGAACGUACCCAGAGGUGGUGGAUAACGCAGCGAAAGCUGUGCUAAUACCGCAUGUGAUCUGAGGAUGACAGCGGGGGACCGCGCAGCAAUGUUUGGCCUCGCGCCUUUGGAGCGGCCGAUGUCGGAUUAGCUAGUUGGUGGGGUAAAGGCCUACCAAGGCGACGAUCCGUAGCUGGUCUGAGAGGACGACCAGCCACACUGGGACUGAGACACGGCCUAGACUCCUACGGGAGGCAGCAGUGGGGAAUUUUGGACAAUGGGCGCAAGCCUGAUCCAGCAAUGCCGCGUGCGGGAAGAAGGCCUUCGGGUUGUAAACCGCUUUUGGCAGGAACGAAACGGUGUCCGCUAAUACCGGGCGCUAAUGACGGUACCUGAAGAAUAAGCACCGGCUAACUACGUG
rnacentral:rRNA from 1 species